CCUACGGGAGGCAGCAGUAAGGAAUAUUGGUCAAUGGACGCAAGUCUGAACCAGCCAUGCCGCGUGAAGGAUUAAGGUCCUCUGGAUUGUAAACUUCUUUUAUUUGGGACGAAAAAGGGUCUUUCUAGAUCAACUGACGGUACCAGAUGAAUAAGCACCGGCUAACUCCGUGCCAGCAGCCGCGGUAAUACGGAGGGUGCAAGCGUUAUCCGGAUUCACUGGGUUUAAAGGGUGCGUAGGCGGGUAGGUAAGUCAGUGGUGAAAUCCUAGAGCUCAACUCUAGAACUGCCAUUGAUACUAUUUAUCUUGAAUAUUGUGGAGGUAAGCGGAAUAUGUCAUGUAGCGGUGAAAUGCUUAGAUAUGACAUAGAACACCUAUUGCGAAGGCAGCUUACUACGCAUAUAUUGACGCUGAGGCACGAAAGCGUGGGGAUCAAACAGGAUUAGAUACCCUGGUAGUCCACGCCCUAAACUAUANAUACUACGACAUUGUUGUAUACUACUAUAAGUAGUCGUGAGACGAAGACGAUUAAGUUAAGUACCUAACCGUACGGUAAGGUUACGUUACCGUCCGAAGGAAGUAGAACGUUACGAAGAAGUUAGUUAGGACGGCGAGAGAGCGACGACGGACGACGACGGAGGAGGAG
rnacentral:rRNA from 1 species